UUUCCCUAUCACGGCUGGAUACAACCACUCAGCCGGUUUCUGCUGACAGCCAGCCGCUAUGGUCGUCCGAACGCACCAAAGAAAAAGAACCUUAGUAGUUAGUAGAAAGGAAAGCAAUUUUAGAUUCCAACCGUGAAAUAUUUAUCAUCUAGUGGGAAAACCGCAGUAAUUGUGCCUUCAAACGGGCAAUUAAGGACAACCCCACCAAAAACCAUUAUAAUUAUAAAUUGAAAUGAUUAAAAAUGUUUGUACCUAUGUAAUUGUACAUGUAAAGCUGGAAAUUCAGGCAUACCAUGGAAAAUUUGAAAAAAAUAAGCACCACAGACAUCAAACAACAGUGGGGAUAAUUUAAAAAACAAUAAUACAACAUAGUCAACAACUACCAGUCUGCUGAUAAAUGGGCUACUGAUAUUGUACUAAAUUAUGAUUUAGCUCUAUUUUACUCAAAUAAUGUUGAAGUAAGCUACAGUAACUCUGUUGAAAUAUCUUUAGCUAUGCUAAACCAAACUGGAGAAGCAUGAAAAAAGCUGAUGUGACUGCAAGUAACUGGGACAAUUUAUUGCCAUUUAUUUACUUAUCAUAAAAAUAAAAGCCCAAGUUGGCCACUUAAAGUCAACCAAUUGUAUAAUUCCAAUUUUAAAUAAAAUACUGUACCCUUCCGUGGGAAAAAAUUAUGAAUCAGUUGCUUUAAAUAUGUAUGAAAAAAUAAGUCUAAGUAUGUAUGUAUGUAUUAUCAGUUUUAUUCCAAUUAUAUAAGUAAAAAACUUGUUUUAAAA
rnacentral:lncRNA from 1 species